rnacentral:rRNA from 1 species
AGUGAACGCUGGCGGCGUGCCUAAUACAUGCAAGUCGAACGGAGUGGCGCACGGGUGAGUAAUGUAUAGCUAAUCUGCCCUACACUAGAGGACAACAGUUGGCAAAGGCUGCUAAUACUCUAUAGUGUAGGAUGAGGCUAUAUUGUAUCAGCUAGUUGGUGAGGUAAUGUCUCACCAAGCCUAUGACGCAUAACUGGUCUGCGAGGAUGAUCAGUCACACUGGAACUGAGACACGGUCCGGACUCCUACGGUAAGCAGCAGUAGGGAAUAUUGCUCAAUGGGGGAAACCCUGAAGGGGCAACGCCGCGUGGAGGAUGACACGUUUCGGAGCGUAAACUCCUUUUGUUAGGGAAGCGGUACCUAACGAAUAAGCACCGGCUAACUCCGUGCCAGCCGCCGCGGUAAUAC